UAGAUCAAUGAUGACCAAUGCUGGUAUAUGUUAUGUAGAUUAUGACUACAGGUUUGGAUGUCUGAGGUGCAC
ensembl:snoRNA small nucleolar RNA SNORD113/SNORD114 family